rnacentral:tRNA from 1 species
CAGAGAAUAGUUUAAUUAAAAUAUUAGUUUUGGGGAUUAAUGAUAAAGAGUAAUUCUUUUUCUCUGA